AUUGAACGCUGGCGGCAUGCUUUACACAUGCAAGUCGAACGGCAGCACGGGUGCUUGCACCUGGUGGCGAGUGGCGAACGGGUGAGUAAUGCACCGGAACGUAUCCAAUAAUGGGGGAUAACGCAGCGAAAGCUGUGCUAAUACCGCAUACGCCCUGAGGGGGAAAGCGGGGGAUCGCAAGACCUCGCGUUAAUGGAGAGGCCGAUGACGGAUUAGCUAGUUGGUGGGGUAAAGGCUCACCAAGGCGACGAUCCGUAGCUGGUCUGAGAGGACGACCAGCCACACUGGGACUGAGACACGGCCCAGACUCCUACGGGAGGCAGCAGUGGGGAAUUUUGGACAAUGGGCGAAAGCCUGAUCCAGCAAUGCCGCGUGCAGGAUGAAGGCCUUCGGGUUGUAAACUGCUUUUGUACGGAACGAAAAGACUCCUUCUAAUACAGGGGGUCCAUGACGGUACCGUAAGAAUAAGCACCGGCUAACUACGUGCCAGCCGCCGCGGUAAUAC
rnacentral:rRNA from 1 species